UAGGGAAUCUUCCACAAUGGACGCAAGUCUGAUGGAGCAACGCCGCGUGAGUGAAGAAGGUUUUCGGAUCGUAAAGCUCUGUUGUUGAUGAAGAAGGAUAGAGGCAGUAACUGGUCUUUAUUUGACGGUAAUCAACCAGAAAGUCACGGCUAACUACGUGCCAGCAGCCGCGGUAAUACGUAGGUGGCAAGCGUUGUCCGGAUUUAUUGGGCGUAAAGCGAGCGCAGGCGGAAUGAUAAGUCUGAUGUGAAAGCCCACGGCUCAACCGUGGAACUGCAUCGGAAACUGUCAUUCUUGAGUGCAGAAGAGGAGAGUGGAAUUCCAUGUGUAGCGGUGGAAUGCGUAGAUAUAUGGAAGAACACCAGUGGCGAAGGCGGCUCUCUGGUCUGCAACUGACGCUGAGGCUCGAAAGCAUGGGUAGCGAACAGG
rnacentral:rRNA from 1 species